rnacentral:rRNA from 1 species
GUACACUCCUGCGGGAGGCAGCAGUGGGGAAUAUUGCACAAUGGGCGCAAGCCUGAUGCAGCCAUGCCGCGUGUAUGAAGAAGGCCUUCGGGUUGUAAAGUACUUUCAGCGGGGAGGAAGGCGAUAAGGUUAAUAACCUUGUCGAUUGACGUUACCCGCAGAAGAAGCACCGGCUAACUCCGUGCCAGCAGCCGCGGUAAUACGGAGGGUGCAAGCGUUAAUCGGAAUUACUGGGCGUAAAGCGCACGCAGGCGGUCUGUCAAGUCGGAUGUGAAAUCCCCGGGCUCAACCUGGGAACUGCAUUCGAAACUGGCAGGCUAGAGUCUUGUAGAGGGGGGUAGAAUUCCAGGUGUAGCGGUGAAAUGCGUAGAGAUCUGGAGGAAUACCGGUGGCGAAGGCGGCCCCCUGGACAAAGACUGACGCUCAGGUGCGAAAGCGUGGGGAGCAAACAGGAUUAGAAACCCCUGUAGUCCCAUGAU